rnacentral:rRNA from 1 species
CCCUUAGAUGUUCUGGGCCGCACGCGUGCUACACUGAGUGGAUCAGCGGGUCAGGUUGCGCGAAAGCGUUUCCUAAUCUUUAAAUCCGCUCGUGAUGGGGAUUGACGGUUGCAAUUUUCUGUCAUGAACGAGGAAUACCUUGUAAGCGCGGGUCAUCAUCCCGCGCUGAAUACGUCCCUGCCCUUUGUACACACCGCCCGUCGCUCCUACCGAUUGAUUGGUCCGGUGAGGCUUUGGGAUCUGAGCGGAAAGAGCGUUUCGCUGUUUCUGCUCGGAAAACUCAGUCGAACCUUAUCAUUUAGAGGAAGGAGAAGUCGUAACA